GAGUUUGAUCAUGGCUCAGAGCGAACGCUGGCGGCAGGCCUAACACAUGCAAGUCGAACGGAUCCUUCGGGAUCAGUGGCGGACGGGUGAGUAACACGUGGGAACGUGCCUCGUUGGUUCGGAAUAACUCAGGGAAACUUGAGCUAAUACCGGAUGAGCCCUACGGGGGAAAGAUUUAUCGCCGAGAGAGCGGCCCGCGUCUGAUUAGCUAGUUGGUGGGGUAAAGGCCCACCAAGGCUACGAUCAGUAGCUGGUCUGAGAGGAUGAUCAGCCACACUGGGACUGAGACACGGCCCAGACUCCUACGGGAGGCAGCAGUGGGGAAUCUUGCGCAAUGGGCGAAAGCCUGACGCAGCCAUGCCGCGUGAAUGAUGAAGGUCUUAGGAUUGUAAAAUUCUUU
rnacentral:rRNA from 1 species